rnacentral:tRNA from 1 species
GCCUCGGUAGCUCAGUGGAAGAGCGCACGGCUGUUAACCGUGAGGUCGCAGGUUCGAGUUUGAAAGGAGGAAUUCCUGCCCGGGGCGCCA